CCGCCCGGCGCCCGCCGAUAGCGUCACCGCCGAGCUGCCCCGCCAGCGCCUGCGUCGCUUCCGCCGCGCGCAGCCCGCGCUGCCCCUGGGCGCCUCCCCCGCAAGUUUCCCGUUCGCGAAGGGGCCGCGACCGGGUGCUUGGGGAAAGAAGGAGUGGGGGAAGAAGGAGGCGGGAAGGUCCUCGCCAGGCCGCCAUGUUGGGGGCGGCCAUGAGAUUCAACUUUUCCAGACAUUUUUGUAGGGCACCGCUGUUACCCAAGAGAAACACUACAGGUUGCUGCAAAUCUUUUUUGUACCUGAUGACUCUGGUUGUACUUUAGGGUGAACAGGAAUCCUCCCAGGAUGCCAUCUGCCAUGCUGUAUUCACUGCAGAAACAAGAGGAGACACCAGCUUAUGUACUGCCGCUUCUAUUUAUAAGACAACACUGCCUAAACCAGGAAGUAUAUUCGACUGAUAACUACUUCCAUUGCAUUUUCAUUAACCAUGCUAAAGUAAACUUAUGAUUGAACUAUGCUGGAUUCUAGUCAUCUGGGCCAAAUUUUGAUCUUCACAGAAAUGAAGCAAUUUGAGUUAA